AGUAGAUGUAAACUGGGGUCCACACAAGCAAAAUAGUAAAUUGGGGACCCACAAGUAAUAUUUUAAGGAUCCUUGGAAAAUUUUGAAAAUA